CACGAGAAUAGCAUGCCAUUCGCCCGCUAUUCGUUUGGGGUGGAGAUGAAAUAAAUGAAUGUGUGGCAGAGGUGUGUCUACAGAUACACUGUAUUCUGAUAUUGAUUAAUAAUUACACCACCUUUAUGCACGAGAACCAUAAAUAAGGUUUAGUCCAAGUGGAAAAAGCAUUUACUUGUUUUUGUCCUACAGUGGGGCAAAAAAGUAUUUAGUCAGCCACCAAUUGUGCAAGUUCUCCCACUUAAAAAGAUGAGAGAGGCCUGUAAUUGUCAUCAUAGGUACAACUUCAGCUAUGACAGACAAAAUGGGAAAAAAAAUCCAGAAAAUCACAUUGUAGGAUUUUUAAUGAAUUUACAGUGCCUUGCGAAAGUAUUCGGCCCCCUUGAACUUUGCGACCUAUUGCCACAUUUCAGGCUUCAAACAUAAAGAUAUAAAACUGUAUUUUUUUGUGAAGAAUCAACAACAAGUGGGACACAAUCAUGAAGUGGAACGACAUUUAUUGGAUAUUUCAAACUUUUUUAACAAAUCAAAAACUGAAAAAUUGGGCGUGCAAAAUUAUUCAGCCCCUUUACUUUCAGUGCAGCAAACUCUCUCCAGAAGUUCAGUGAGGAUCUCUGAAUGAUCCAAUGUUGACCUAAAUGACUAAUGAUGAUAAAUACAAUCCACCUGUGUGUAAUCAAGUCUCCGUAUAAAUGCACCUGCACUGUGAUAGUCUCAGAGGUCCGUUAAAAGCGCAGAGAGCAUCAUGAAGAACAAGGAACACACCAGGCAGGUCUGAGAUACUGUGGUGAAGAAGUUUAAAGCCGGAUUUGGAUACAAAAAUAUUUCCCAAGCUUUAAACAUCCCAAGGAGCACUGUGCAAGCGAUAAUAUUGAAAUGGAAGGAGUAUCAGACCACUGCAAAUCUACCAAGACCUGGCCGUCCCUCUAAACUUUCAGCUCAUACAAGGAGAAGACUGAUCAGAGAUGCAGCCAAGAGGCCCAUGAUCACUCUGGAUGAACUGCAGAGAUCUACAGCUGAGGUGGGAGACUCUGGCCAUAGGACAACAAUCAUUAUUAACAAGAGUGGCAAGAAGAAAGCCAUUUCUUAAAGAUAUCCAUAAAAAGUGUCGUUUAAAGUUUGCCACAAGCCACCUGGGAGACACACCAAACAUGUGGAAGAAGGUGCUCUGGUCAGAUGAAACCAAAAUUGAACUUUUUGGCAACAAUGCAAAACGUUAUGUUUGGCGUAAAAGCAACACAGCUGAGCCAAAUACAGGA
rnacentral:lncRNA from 1 species